rnacentral:lncRNA from 1 species
GCAGUGCUGCAUCGCCUGUUACGUGUAGCUACGAGUGCUCCUCCCUCUCCCCACAUUGGCAUGUAUAAAGGAGGGCAAGGAGGCAAGGGUAGUCAGCUUGCUCCAGCGACAGUCCACUGAGCAGUGACAACGUCCUCGUCUGGUGUUCAAUUUCUUCGUGAAGAAGCAUGUUUAGAGCCUCAAGGGUUAUGGUGGAGGGAGUGCUCUGCCUCUUAGUGAUGAUACUCCAUUCGCAUGUCCAUGUCCAUGCGAGUGGUAACAAUCCUUCUUAUACAUUGGAAGUACAUAACCUGUAUGGUGGAGAUUGCGUGACCAUCAAGUAUCCAUGCAAAGGCCAAACUGAAGGAUGUAAUCCUUUCUGUACGAGGGGCAUCGACAAGCACAAAUUCAUAUGCAAAUGUCAAUCUAAUGGUAGUCCGGGUCGUAUGAUGGCCGAUUUAACGACAAAUGGCAACCCCACCUGUGACGAACAAAAGUUGGUGGCGCAGUACGACGGAAUUAUCGACAAGAACUUAUGUGGAACGGAUACCAAGGACAUUUCAACUUCGGGAGACAGAAUCAUUAUUGCAUUGAAGGAUUACCAGAAUCCCAGUUUCUUUGAUGAAAGUGGCGAGUGCUCCUGUAGCGACCAUUGUAAAUGUAGUUAUACAGCAUGUUGUGUGGCUGAUUAGAAACCACAGUAUGCAUCGGUGCUUAAUGUUUACUGAUAAUUGAUGCAAUAAUGAUGAUGAUGAUGAUCAUAAAAGUAAGAAUGUUAAUGAUAAUAUUACCAGGGCAUUACUGCAUGUUGACACAUUAGCACAGAUAAAUAUUAACUGAAAAA